CCCUUAGAUGUUCUGGGCCGCACGCGCGCUACACUGACGAAUGCAACGAGCUUAUAACCUUGGCCGAAAGGUCUGGGUAAUCUCCAAAUUUCGUCGUGAUGGGGAUAGAUUAUUGCAAUUAUUAAUCUUCAACGAGGAAUGCCUAGUAAGCGCAAGUCAUCAGCUUGCGUUGAUUACGUCCCUGCCCUUUGUACACACCGCCCGUCGCACCUACCGAUUGAAUGGUCCGGUGAAAUCUCCGGACUGGCGUGAGUCGGAGCAAUCUGACAAACGCCGGAAAGUUGAUUAAACCUUACCAUUUAGAGGAAGGUGAAGUCGUANCA
rnacentral:rRNA from 1 species